rnacentral:rRNA from 1 species
AGACACCCCCAACUAAUAACGCAAGAAUAAAAAUACUUCAGGUUUAACCUUUGGUACCAGGAAAUUACAACUUACAACAAUAGCAUCGCCCCGAAAAGUUAAAAAAUUAAAAUUUAUUGAGAACAAUGAAAAUCAAAUAAAAAAAUUUUAAGGGGGAUAUCCCUUACUUAACUUUAUAUCUGGAAAGAUAAAUAAAUGAAGGAAAGCUUUAACCGACUCUCAAUAUGCGUUCAGAAUUAAAAAAGAUUGAAAAAAUUUAUAUUAAUAAGUUCACAACGUAAAAAUCAAGAUUCUAAAUAUUUACUCUUCUACGUCCAUAAUGUAAUUAUUAGUACUAAAAAUUAAAAACACAACAUCAUAUUAACAAAACUUAAACAAAGCUGAAAAAUUAUUAGGCAAGAAACCCAGGAACUGUUUACCAAAAACAUAGCUUUUAGAAUUAAAAGUAAUUUCUGCUAAUUGUUUUAAAAAGCCGCUCGGCGCUAAGGUAGCGUAAUCAAAAGUUCGUUAAUUGCGAACCUGUAUGAAAGAAAAUUUCCUGGGUGUCUAUCUAUUCAGCUAAAAGAAAAUUAAGGGGUUAUGAGAUUAUACCCUACCCUGCAAGACGAGAAGACCCUACAAGUUAAUCUGAAAAAGAUUUUUUGGGGAAAAUUUUUAAGGCUUCUCUUAAAUUUAAACUUGAAAUAACACAAAAUAAUAAACUACUUUAGGGAUAACAGCACAAUGUCUAUGUAUAGACCUUAUACAAAUAGAAGUUUGUGACCUCGAUGUUGGAUUUUAAUUCUUUGGGCUGCAGAAAGUUUGAAAGAAUAGACUGUUCGUUUUUUAAAAAUAAACUUGAUCUGAGUUCAGAUCGGCGAGAGCCAGAUCGGAUUUUAUCUGCAGGUAAUGAAGGGUUUGACAGUACGAAAGGAUAGCAAAGUCUUAAUAUUUAGUAAGCGACAAUAUUAAAGCAUUAUGUACUCCUCCCCUGUGCUGAUAUUAAAGUUUGAUUCACCUAGACU